ACUCUGUUUUCAGAGUUUCAAAACUUUUUUUCACACAUUCGCACACCAGUUUUCAGAUCACCAUUUACAAGGUUUCAAACCUGGAAAACAAACUAAUACAGUGGGAGAACACUGACAAAUUUGAAACUCUGAAAAAAUUCUUUGCGCAACAUCGUAAAAAAAAUGUUGCAGUUCUGAAGAAGGAAAUCUCAAAAACAACAUAAUGUUUGCAGAGAUAUUUUUAUUUUUUUUACAUUUUGCAAGCUUGCAAAUCUUAUUUUUCGAUCUUGCAAAACUUUUUUUGUAAGAUUUUGAGUUUUCGAACACUUAGUUUCAACCUUUCAGAACUUUAUUUUCAGUUUUGAAUCAUGGCAGGAUAAUAAUCCCAUACUGAUCCAGUUUCUAUAUUCAGAAUUAUUUGGGCUACUUACGAUUUUUGGAAAAUGCCUAAAGAGAACAUAUGGGAACAAUACUUCUGGAACCUGAACUGCUGAGAAAGGGGACCGUCUUUAUCGCCUUCACAACCACUAGAGAUAUUCGCAUUCGUUGACUUCUGACACUCGCUCCUCUUGGAUGUUGUGGGUAGUGAAUGGAAUAGAUUCCUGGAGCUCUAGUCCUACUUGCAGGGUCUGUAGGUGGUGCUGCUCUUGUGCGCUGCACGGCGGAAGAGGCACCGGAUAUGUGCUGUGGAAGCGUCUCAGGUCGAAUCGAAAUGCCCCUUUCUCCAGUGUCAUGCACGGCUCAAAAUGGGCUCCCCAUUCGAACUCCGUCUCGAUUUAGGAGAUCUUUGCUUGCCACAUCAUUCCUGUCAAAACAAAGUCGUCAAACGAUCUGAGAAAGCAUCAUGUCUUGUUAUAGUGACAAGCUACCUUUAACCUUGACCACAAGAUGGCGCUAUGGUGUAAAACAAAUCACAUUCGUCUAAAACUGACGCUGUUUUUACAUUAGUUUCAAUCGGAGUGUAAUUCUGUAUAUGUAUAUAUGUAUGAGA
rnacentral:lncRNA from 1 species